CUUGAGCGAGCCCAGCAGCAGCGGCUGUCCCUGGGCCCGGUCCUGGCCGUAGGUGGCGAGCAGCGCCUGCGCCUC
rnacentral:antisense_RNA from 1 species